rnacentral:rRNA from 1 species
GAUGAACGCUAGCUACAGGCUUAACACAUGCAAGUCGAGGGACCGGCGCACGGGUGAGUAACACGUAUCCAACCUGCCUUUUACUCGGGGAUAGCCUUUCGAAAGAAAGAUUAAUACCCGAUAUAAAGGAUGGGGAUGCGGUCCAUUAGGUUGUUGGUGAGGUAACGGCUCACCAAGCCUUCGAUGGAUAGGGGUUCUGAGAGGAAGUUCCCCCGUGUAGGAACUGAGACCCGGUACAAACUCCUAGGGGAGGCAGCAGUAAGGAAUAGUGGUGAAGGGGCGCUAGCCUGAACCAGCCAAGUAGAGUGAAGGAUGAAGGGGUAUGGGUCGUAAACUGCUUUUAUAUAAGAAUAUGUAUUAUAUGAAUAAGGAUCGGCUAACUCCGUGCCAGCAGCCGCGGUAAUUC